ACCGUUCAGGGGUAAACCUGAGAAACCCAAAAGAUCGAAUGGGGAGAUUCAUCGUCAGCUCAUUUUGUAUAUGUACGAGUUAUGAUGCGAGUUACUCUUGUAGUAUUGCUUGCACGUACUUGUACAUUUAUUUGCAAGAUGUUGUCGGCGUGCACUUCUCCCCUAGUAGAACGUCGCGACCCGUUGGGUGUUGGUCUACGACCCGAGUGGGAGACUUUAAUAUUUUAUUAUAUUAAAGACCCUUGGUGUUUUCUGACCGGCUGCCCGGCGGUACUCGUACGGUAUUUAGCCGCAUCUUAUUUGCGUCCAUGUCUGUCGCAAGCGAGGUCAAUUUCUGGUAGUGCGGACCUAGUGCCGUCACUGGGAUUGACCAGCUGUUGGCUGUACAGAAUUCUAGGACUGGCUAAAAUAAUUACCGGUCGGCGAUGCUACUGCUUUGGGUACUUUCAGGA
rnacentral:rRNA from 1 species